CCGGAGGAGGAAGUUCCGGCGAAGGGAAGCUCGGGGCAGCCCUUGCUUUCGGGCGGCACCGCUCUCUCACGGCGGCGCUAGGGCUCCUCUCACCGGUCUAGAAAUGUUGCUGGGAGGGAGACCGACCGAACGGGACCGGUCCGGCGGCGAACGGAGAUCGGACGGCGGCGGGAGGACGGCCGGAAUUCUGCUGGGUGUAGAGAGAAGAAAAUCGGGUGGGAGGAGAAGAAAAAUCGGGAGGGAGGGAGAAGAGAAAGAAGAAGAAAUGGGUUGGGCUCGGCCCAACCGACCCAACACCCCUUUUAACCCAUAAUUCCAAAAUUCAACACCCCGAAAAAUAAUACCCGAAUAAAAAUUACCUUUUACUAGCUAAAAUUUACUAUUUUUACCGUCGUCGUAUUUUCCUCAUACGAAUAAUCCUCCGCACAUAAUCGUCCCCGAAACCCCUCUAGGGACCAAUUAAACUAUUUACUCAAUGAUCGAGACGGUAAAAUUCUUAUUAUAAUCACGCUAGUAAAUAAGGUAAAAAUAUAAGGGUCGGGAUGUGACAAUUCUCCCCUCCUUAUAAAAAUUUCGUCCUCGAAAUUAAUAUACAUGUCAUCCGAAGAGAUACGGAUACUGCUGCAUCAUUUGCUCCUCUGAUUCCCAAGUAGCUUCUUCUACUUGAUGACUUCUCCACAGCACCUUAACAAGCGGGAUUGUCUUGUUCCUAAGCACUUGCUCCUUUCGGUCGAGAAUCUGAACCGGUUCCUCUUCAUAGGUCAAAUCUCUCGUCAAACUGAUCGGUUGCUCUUGCAGCACAUGAGAAGGAUCGGCAAUAUACUUGCGAAGCAUGGAUACAUGAAACACCUUAUGUAUCCUAGCUAACUCUGGAGGCAAGGCUAAUCGAUAAGCAAGUGAGCCAACUCGCUCUAUAAUCUCAUAAGGGCCAAUAUACCUCGGGCUAAGCUUCCCACGCUUACCGAAACGCACAAUCCCUUUCCAAGGAGAUAAUUUCAGGAACACCCAAUCACCCACUUGAAAUUCAAGAUCUCUCCUACGGACAUCCGCAUAACUUUCUGC
rnacentral:lncRNA from 1 species